UACGGAGGGUGCGAGCGUUGUCCGGAAUCAUUGGGCGUAAAGGGCGCGUAGGUGGCCCGGUCAGCGUGCGGUGAAAGCUCGGGGCUCAACCCCGAGUCGGCCGUGCGAACUGCUGGGCUUGAGCACUGUAGAGGCAGGCGGAAUUCCGGGUGUAGCGGUGGAAUGCGUAGAGAUCCGAAAGAACACCGGUGGCGAAGGCGGCCUGCUGGGCAGUGGCUGACACUGAGGCGCGACAGCGUGGGGAGCAAACAGG
rnacentral:rRNA from 1 species